CUGCAUCUCCAGCUGCUGGUCGUCAGCGGGUUGCUGCAGGCUUCUGCCUGGCCUGGCUAACGAGGGGUUGCUUUGGAACGGUGUAGAACCAAAUGCAGCAGUGGAUACUGGAGGAAUGUGCCCAACACCUUGCUCUAAGGGAAUGGUGAAUCCAUUGCUGUUCGGAGGAGUGAAGUGGUAUAAUUUUUUUUAA
rnacentral:lncRNA from 1 species